rnacentral:rRNA from 1 species
UACGUAGGGUGCAAGCGUUGUCCGGAAUUAUUGGGCGUAAAGAGCUCGUAGGCGGUUUGUCGCGUCGAAUGUGAAAACCCGAGGCUUAACCUCGGGCCUGCAGUCGAUACGGGCAGACUAGAGUUCGGUAGGGGAGACUGGAAUUCCUGGUGUAGCGGUGAAAUGCGCAGAUAUCAGGAGGAACACCGGUGGCGAAGGCGGGUCUCUGGGCCGAUACUGACGCUGAGGAGCGAAAGCGUGGGGAGCGAACAGG